AAGUCGUAACAAGGUUUCCGUAGGUGAACCUGCGGAAGGAUCAUUAACAAAUUCCUUUCAUCGACCCUUUGUGAACAGGCGAGCGACUGCUUGCUGCUUCGGCAGCUUGCGGCAACUCGUGCGAUGGCGGCAGCGACGCACAGCUUCGGCAGUGCACUAGCGCGCUUCGCAACUUAUAAACGCUUUUGUGUUUGUCUAAGUAUAAGCAAAUAACCAAGAACAACUUUUAACAAUGGAUCUCUUGGCUCUU
rnacentral:misc_RNA from 1 species